AAUGGAGAACCGGUAACGAGAGAAGAGGAGGAGCCUGUAACCAGGUGCUUUGAAAGAGAAUGCCGCCGAGAGUCAAGGCGUUUUGAGAAGGAGUCUCACUGCUGUCUUUCAAUGGACACGCAGUAGCUUAAGCGCUGCUAGACUGUAAUCCAUCUCCUGAUCUCCACCGAUUCCUCCUCCUCCCUUUCUUCUCUGCAUAUAGAAAUUUUAACAAA